GUGUUACUUCUUUCGUCCGGAAAUACUUGUCAUCAAAAUGGAUAAAAAAUAUAUCUAGACAUAUUUUAGUUUUAUUUAGAUUUUUUUUUAUUCAUUUUCAUGAUAAAUAUUUUUGGACGGAGGGAGUACAAG
rnacentral:pre_miRNA from 1 species